AAGGUUUUAGAUUCUUAG
rnacentral:misc_RNA from 1 species